GGCUUAGCCUGGAAUUGUGGGAGGUACAUUUUUCCCUAUAUAAAGCACAACAAGCCCAGCUUACCUGUCAUCGACGUUCCCGGAAGUGCUUCGAUCUACUUCCGGUUCACGUGAUCUGGACCAAACCGAGUUUCGGCCAGUAACGGAAGCAUAACCGCUCUACAAGGCUGUCUCCCCGGGUAAAACAGUGAGUUAUCUCACGGGCGCAUCCAACGCCAUGUGUAACAUUAGAUAGGGAACUCCUUCGACCCUCAGACUCCCCAGCAACGAGCUGUACAACGAGCUAUUCACAAAGGGACCCCCACAUACUCACAGGGGGCACGGCGCAUAAAGGCUCCCCUUUGAUACUUGCUGCAUACCGGCUUCACGGUACCGAUCAAAAUCUUCAAUACACGAACACCUAUACUUACGUGCGGUCGUUGUACAUGAACAUCUUCCUAUUCAGGGUGCCAUUCGGCUAUUUCAUUCUUAGCACUGCUUUUCCCC